rnacentral:rRNA from 1 species
UAUGUUAGCUUGCUAAUAUAUUUAGUAGCAAACGGGUGAGUAACACGUACCUAACCUACCUUUUGGACCGGGAUAACUAUUGGAAACAGCAGCUAAUACCGGAUAAAAUAAAAAAAUGCAUGUUUUUUUAUUAAAAGGAGCCUUUAAAGCUCCACCAAAAAAUGGGGGUGCGCAACAUUAGUUAGUUGGUAGGGUAAAGGCCUACCAAGACGAUGAUGUUUAGCGGGGCCAAGAGGCUGUACCGCCACACUGGGAUUGAGAUACGGCCCAGACUCCUACGGGAGGCAGCAGUAAGGAAUAUUCCACAAUGAGCGAAAGCUUGAUGGAGCGACACAGAGUGCAG